UACGUAGGGUGCGAGCGUUGUCCGGAAUUACUGGGCGUAAAGGGCGCGUAGGCGGUGUGUCAAGUCAGGCGUGAAAGCCCCGGGCUCAACCUGGGAACCGCGCUUGAGACUGGCACGCUCGAGUUCGGGAGAGGAUGGUGGAAUUCCCAGUGUAGAGGUGAAAUGCGUAGAUAUUGGGAGGAACACCGGUGGCGAAGGCGGCUACCUGGACCGGUACUGACGCUGAGGCGCGAAAGCUAGGGUAGCAAACAGG
rnacentral:rRNA from 1 species